CACGUAGGGUGCGAGCGUUAAUCGGAAUUACUGGGCGUAAAGCGUGCGCAGGCGGCGCGUUAAGACAGGUGUGAAAGCCCCCGAGCUUAACUUGGGAAUUUGCGCUUGUGACUGGCGUGCUGGAGUGUGGCAGAGGGAGGUGGAAUUCCACGUGUAGCAGUGAAAAUGCGUAGAGAUGUGGAGGAACACCGAUGGCGAAGGCAGCCUCCUGGGCCAGCACUGACGCUGAGGAGCGAAAAGCGUGGGGGAGCAAAACAGG
rnacentral:rRNA from 1 species